AAGUCGUAACAAGGUUUCCGUAGGUGAACCUGCGGAAGGAUCAUUAUUGAAUAAACUUGGUGGAUUGUUGCUGGCUCCUUUCAUGAGCAAGUGCACGUCUGUCAUUUUUAUCUUUCCAACAUGUGCACUAUGCAUAGAUCUGAGUAUUUAUUUGACCAAAGUCAUCUUUGGUUUUUUGGAAAUUGCCAUUGCAAUAAUGGCUUUUUCUGUAUUCAGAUUCUAUGAAUUUUAUAUACUCCAAUGUAUGUUUAUGAAUGCUAUUGAAGGGCUUUUAUAGCCUAUUAAAUUUAUACAACUUUCAGCAACGGAUCUCUUGGCUCUC
rnacentral:misc_RNA from 1 species